GUCCUCCAGAAGGACAUGUAUACAUGAAAGGGACUUUAUUAAGGAGAAGUGACUCACACAAUCACAAGGUGAAGUCACAAUAGGCCACCUGCAACUGAAGGGCCAGGAAGCCAAUAGUGGCUCAGUCUGAGUCCCAAAGGCUCAAACAUAGAGAAGCUGACAGUUCAAUCUGUGGCUGAUGGUCUCAGAGCCCCAGGCAAACCACUAGUGUAAGUCCAACAGUCCAAAGGCCAAGGAACUUGGUGUCUGAUGUUCACGAGCAGGAAGCAUCCAGCACAGGAGAAAGAUGAAAGUCAGAAGACUCAGCAAGCCAGCUUAUCCUACCUUCUUUCACUUGUUUUGUUCUAGCCACACUGGCAGCCAAUUGGAUGGUGUUCACCUGCAUUGAGGAUGGCCCUGGAUUGAUUUGCCAAAGAUCCACCCAGGAAUCCUGACUCAUUGUAGCAGGGUGGAGAUUUUCUGAGCUAAGCGAGACCUUUCCUCAGAGGUCAUUUUCUCUGCCACUUCUCCUGAGGCAACUCCUGCAGCAAGCCCCCAAGGACAGAAUCAGAUAAUAGGAAUUCAAAAACCUGACUUCACUGUGAGCUAUGAUACAAGGUCCAAGACCUUCAGCAGCAGCCAGUUUUACUGAGUUACUAAUAGUCAAGGAGCUAAAAUAAAGAACCGGAGAUCUUCCAAGCAAAGGAGACUGCAGAGAAUCAUUUGUGCUAGGGCCUACCCUUCAAAUACAGAGGAGAAGGAGACACAGAUACAGAAGAGAAGACCACAUUGGAUAUGCAGAAAAAGCCUUGUGAAGUCAGAGGGGAAGGCCAAGUGAAAACAGAGGUCGUGAUUGAAGUUAAGUAUCCACAAGCCAAAGCACACCUGGGCCUACAGAAAACUGGACUCUUCACAAGGAAAAGUUCUACACUAGAGACUUCAGACGGAUUGUAGCCCUGCUGCCACCUUGAUUUUGAACUUCUGGUUACUAGAUCUAUGAAAUAAUAAAUUUGCAUUGUUUAAAACCUCCAAGUUUUUGGUGAUUUGUUACAGCAGCCUUCAUUGUUUAAAUACACAUUACUUAUCUUCUCCAAGUAUCUGCCUGAGCAGCUAGAUGAAUAUUUUUUUUUAAUUACACAAUAGAGCUUUUUCUAAUGUAAAUCAAUAAAUAUUAAAAGUCACAAAGUUUAAAUACAUACUGAAUUCUAUGCAGAAAAACUGUUUCUCUGAUACCCUUACUUUUAUGCACCCCAAGAAUGCUUCUUCAAUUAUCAAAUCCCCUCAUUUCUUCUUCUAGUUUUAUUCUAUUUGAUGACCUAGAUUUAGUCUUCAUUGAAAAGUAGAACACAUUAAACUUAAACUCUUUCAUUUUACCAAUGGUAAACCUAUAGAUGCAUCUGCAUCAAUGACAUACAAUAUUUUCUCAAUUAUAACAAUGGACAAAUGCCAUAUAACUAUCCCUUCCAUCAAAGAACCAUCAAGCCACGUGUUCUUAAGACCCACUUUAUUGUUGUCUUCCUGUGGACUAUACCUUAGUUUAUUUCUUCUUUCCAGUAUUAUCAGACUUCCUGUCUCUUCUGAAUUAUGCCAAUGAGCACAAAAAUGCUCUAAUGUAGACUGUUUUAUAAAAGUCUUCUACUGAUCUCACAUUUGUCUUCAGCUCCAAUUCUUUGAUGGUUUCCAUAGAAAAACUAAAGUUGGCUGUAAAAGACGACUACAUUGUUUACUUCCCAAUCAUCGUUAAUGACCUUUAAUCUGGUUUUUACCUCUAUCAGUCCUUCAAAAGCACAUAUCAAGGCCAUAAUAAUCUGUGCUUUACCAAAUCCAAUGGAUAGUUUACUCUUCUUAUAAUUAGUCUUCUUGGUAAUCAUUGAGAUGGUUUUUGCCUUCUUGAAAUUAAAUUUUCUCUUAGUUUCCUUGACACCAGGCCCUGUCAGUCUUCCCUGUAGCUUUGUGAUUUCCCAUCUUACACCCAUACUCCUAAUUUGAUGUUCUUCAUGAUUCAGUCCUGGGUCAACUGCUUACACAAAAAGAAUACAACAUGUACUCUUUAAGUGAUGUCAGUCCUACACAUCUUUCCUUGUUUUAGUAUCUAGCUCACAGAUUAUUAUCUCCAAUUUAAAUCUACUGGUUGAACUGUAUUCUCCCUGUCUACCUGCCUGCUGGACAGCUUCACUUGCAGGCCUCAUAGCCCCAGUCUCCUAGGUUUCCACCCACUUAAACACUUUUCACACCUCAAUAAAUGGCAUCAAUGUUCAAACUGAAGAUCUAUUAAAACUAAACACCUUACCACAAAAAUUAUAAAUAUGUGAGGUAAUGUAUAUGUUAAAUAGCUUAAGUUAGCCAUACCAUUAUAGGUGUGUGUGUGUAAACAUCAUGUUUGACACCACAAAUAUAUAUAUAAUUUUUUACUUGUCAAUUUUAAAAACAACUAUACAUUUAAAAAUCAUCCUAAAUUCUGUACUUGCCCUUACCUUCCACGGUACAUUUAGUCAGGAAUCGUGCUUAUGCUACUUAUAAAAUAUAUUUCAAAUGUGUUUAAUUAAUUCUUCCUUGUUAUCACCUCCCAAACCCAGGCCAACAUCCUCUGUCAUCAGAAUGACAGCAAAAGCCUGUGAUGGGGCUUCUCACUUCUAAUCUUACCUCUUCCAAGUGACUGCCAUGUCAAUUUUCUGACAAAAUAUUUUCAAUGACUUCCUCUUGUAUUUCAAACAUCACUAAGAGCUUCCCCGUAGCUAUAGGCCCUUCACUAUAUAAAUUGCUCAUCACUUUAGCUUUACUGUAUAUCCUUCUCUCUUCAUUUACUGCGUCCUAGCCUUACUGGUCUUUUCUCAGAUCUUGGACAUACCAACAGUUUCCUUUCUCGGGGCAGUUGUACUAUUCUGCUCUAGCUCUUCUCACUGAAGCAUCAUUUCAUCUCAGGUCAUCAGCUUGAAUGUUACCUAAGCAGUGAUGCUUUACAAAAUCACCCUAUGCUAGUAAUUAUAUCCCAUUA